GACGAACGCUGGCGGCGUGCUUAACACAUGCAAGUCGAACGACGUGGCGAACGGGUGAGUAAUACGUGGGUAACCUGCCCUCCUUUUUGGGAUAAGCCUUGGAAACGGGGUCUAAUACCGAAUAAAGGGGGAUGGGCUCGCGGCCUAUCAGCUUGUUGGUGGGGUGAUGGCCUACCAAGGCGGUGACGGGUAGCCGGCCUGAGAGGGUGAACGGCAACAGGGGGACUGAGAUACGGCCCAGACGACUACGGGAGGGAGCAGUGGGGGAGAUUGCACAAAGGGCGAAAGACGGAUGCAGCGACGCCGCGUGGGGGAUGAAGGUUUUCGGGCUGUAAACCUCGUGCGCUAGCGAACGGGUAGGUGGAGAAGAAGCGCCGGCUAACUACGUGCCAGCCGCCGCGGUAAUUC
rnacentral:rRNA from 1 species